rnacentral:rRNA from 1 species
UACGUAGGGCGCGAGCGUUGUCCGGAUUUAUUGGGCGUAAAGAGCUCGUAGGCGGCUUGUCGCGUCGUCCGUGAAAACCCACAGCUCAACUGUGGGCUUGCGGUCGAUACGGGCAGGCUAGAGUUCGGUAGGGGAGACUGGAAUUCCUGGUGUAGCGGUGAAAUGCGCAGAUAUCAGGAGGAACACCGGUGGCGAAGGCGGGUCUCUGGGACGUUACUGACGCUAAGGCGCGAAAGCGUGGGGAGCGAACAGG